CCUACGGGAGGCUGCAGUGGGGAAUAUUGCACAAUGGGCGCAAGCCUGAUGCAGCCAUGCCGCGUGUGUGAAGAAGGCCUUCGGGUUGUAAAGCACUUUCAGCGGGGAGGAAGGCGGUGAGGUUAAUAACCUCAUCGAUUGACGUUACCCGCAGAAGAAGCACCGGCUAACUCCGUGGCCAGCAGCCGCGGUAAUACGGAGGGUGCAAGCGUUAAUCGGAAUUACUGGGCGUAAAGCGCACGCAGGCGGUCUGUCAAGUCGGAUGUGAAAUCCCCGGGCUCAACCUGGGAACUGCAUUCGAAACUGGCAGGCUAGAGUCUUGUAGAGGGGGGUAGAAUUCCAGGUGUAGCGGUGAAAUGCGUAGAGAUCUGGAGGAAUACCGGUGGCGAAGGCGGCCCCCUGGACAAAGACUGACGCUCAGGUGCGAAAGCGUGGGGAGCAAACAGGAUUAGAUACCCUUGUAGUC
rnacentral:rRNA from 1 species